rnacentral:lncRNA from 1 species
GAGCCCCCCUCCCUCCCUCUGCCUGCUGCCUGUCUGUCCUGCCACUGGCAGCUGCGUGGGGCCCCACCCGUGUCCCCUCCCCUCUGUGCCAGUCUUGCUUGGUGUCUCUCUUUCUCUCUGUCUCUGUCUCUUUCUUCCUGGCUCCUCCUCCUCGCCUCAUUGGACAGAAGCGGCAGAGUCUCCCCUGGGUGCCCACUGGGUCCUGGUCCCUGGUCCUGGUUGGAGCCACCAAGCAGGCUGGGAGCUUCCUCACUGAGCUGUGUGCCUGUGACUGGGCCCUGGCUCCCAGUCUGGGCACAGAGGUCGCAGCAGGCUUCUGCUAGGCCUGGCUCACCCCACCUUACGCGCUCCAGGAUGGGCGGUCACACCCCAGAGCGGCCCUAGGCUGCACAGCCAGGACCGAGGACGGCCACUCUGGCUGCAUCUGUGCAGUGCAGAGCGCUGCCCGUGCCUGCCUGCCACUGAAGCCGACUCCCCUGGGGCUGGGCCUGCUGAGGCCUAGGAGGGCAGAUAGCUGGUGGAGCAGGCAUUGUUGUAGCCUGGGCCUCCUGGGCCGUAGCCUGGCCUCGCCACAGAGGUGGAAGGCACACACAUCCCUGGGUGCUCAUGCACAGGUGGCACACCUGCACGAC